rnacentral:rRNA from 1 species
CCCUUAGAUGUUCUGGGCUGCACGCGCGCUACACUGAAGCGUUCAACGAGUAUUUCACCUUGCCCGGGAGGGUUGGGUAAUCUUUUUAAAACGCUUCGUGAUGGGGAUAGAUUAUUGCAAUUAUUAAUCUUCAACGAGGAAUUCCUAGUAAGCGCAAGUCAUCAGCUUGCGUUGAUUACGUCCCUGCCCUUUGUACACACCGCCCGUCGCUCCUACCGAUUGAAUGGUCCGGUGAAGCGUUCGGACCGUGGCCUUUGGACGGUUCGCCGUCUGUUGGCUGCGGGAAGUUCGUUAAACCUUAUCAUUUAGAGGAAGGAGAAGUCGUAACA